UACGGAGGGUGCAAGCGUUGCUCGGAAUUAUUGGGCGUAAAGCGCGCGUAGGCGGCCCAUCAAGUCGGAUGUGAAAUCCCUCGGCUUAACCGAGGACGUGCAUUCGAUACUGAUGGCCUUGAGUACGAAAGAGGAUCGCGGAAUUCCCGGUGUAGAGGUGAAAUUCGUAGAUAUCGGGAGGAACACCAGCGGCGAAGGCGGCGAUCUGGGUCGAUACUGACGCUGAGGUGCGAAAGCGUGGGGAGAAAACAGG
rnacentral:rRNA from 1 species